rnacentral:rRNA from 1 species
AGAGUUUGAUCCUGGCUCAGGAUGAACGCUGGCGGCGUGCCUAAUACAUGCAAGUCGAACGAGGCCCAAUGUACUUGUACAGAGGUGUCCUAGUGGCGAACGGGUGAGUAACGCGUUGGUGACCUGCCCCGAAGUGGGGGAUAACAGUUCGAAAGGACUGCUAAUACCCCAUGUGACUGUGAGAGUUAGAGGUCUCACUAUCAAAGGAGUAAUCCGCUUCGGGAGGGGCCUGCGUCCCAUCAGCUAGUUGGUAAGGUAAUGGCUUACCAAGGCUUAGACGGGUAGGGGACCUGAGAGGGUGACCCCCCACACUGGGACUGAGACACGGCCCAGACUCCUACGGGAGGCAGCAGUGGGGAAUUUUGGACAAUGGGGGCAACCCUGAUCCAGCCAUGCCGCGUGAGUGAAGAAGGCCUUCGGGUUGUAAAGCUCUUUCAGUUGGGAAGAAACGGAGUUCUCUAACAUAGGGCUCUACUGACG